rnacentral:hammerhead_ribozyme from 1 species
AUCCAGCUGAGGAGUCCUGAAUAGGACGAAACGCGCAUCCUGGAU